rnacentral:snoRNA from 1 species
CAGAAUAUGUGAUGAUCAUUCCUACUUGAACUCUCUCACUGAUUAUACUGAUGACAACAACAAGAUCUGAUAUUCUG